ACGAGUCAAACAUUGCAACAUAUUUAAUUGAUAAGAAUUUUUUUAUAUAAAACAUUAGCACGAAGACAGUAUUCCAGCAGUUACUUUCUCGUCAAUUGUUGAAAAAGACAUUUGAACAGUAAUAAAACCAAAUUUUGGAAAUGAGAAUCGAUUUAGCUUGGGGUUACCUCUUGGUUGCAGUUAUUGUUAGCUGCUCCGCUCUUCCGCAACUUGAAAGAAAUAUGGGACAUCCAGGAGAGGCGCCAUUGCCAACUCCCGUCGGAACAUGUCCAGAAUUUAGUUACAAUACAGUUUUCCUGUCUGACGCAUAUUACUGUGGAUAUUAUCAUCAAUGCUCCGAUGGUGUUCCGAUUCGUAUGAAAUGCCCCGACGGAUUGUACUGGACUGUUGGCGAGGACAGCUAUUAUUAUCCAACGUGCGAUUUCCCAAACCAAUCCAAUUCCAACUGUCGCAAGGACACACCCUUUUAAAGAAAAGACUCAAAUAGUCUAGUCUGAGUUAGUGUCAAGCUAAACUUUGUUUUUUAAUGAUUUGAAAACAAUUAGAUAGAAAUACAAUCUAGAACUCUAUUCCAUAUUUCAGCAGUAAUUGAUCUGUCAAUCUCUGCCCAAUUAUAUGUCUUUAAUCAUUAGAUUUUUCUUGCUUAUCACACAAAUACACAUAUACUUCAGCAAUCUAA